GACGAACGCUGGCGGCGUGCCUAAUACAUGCAAGUAGAACGCUGAAGAGAGGAGCUUGCUCUUCUUGGAUGAGUUGCGAACGGGUGAGUAACGCGUAGGCAACCUGCCUUGUAGCGGGGGAUAACUAUUGGAAACGAUAGCUAAUACCGCAUAACAAUGGAUGACACAUGUCAUUUAUUUGAAAGGGGCAAUUGCUCCACUACAAGAUGGACCUGCGUUGUAUUAGCUAGUAGGUGAGGUAACGGCUCACCUAGGCGACGAUACAUAGCCGACCUGAGAGGGUGAUCGGCCACACUGGGACUGAGACACGGCCCAGACUCCUACGGGAGGCAGCAGUAGGGAAUCUUCGGCAAUGGGGGCAACCCUGACCGAGCAACGCCGCGUGAGUGAAGAAGGUUUUCGGAUCGUAAAGCUCUGUUGUAAGUCAAGAACGAGUGUGAGAGUGGAAAGUUCACACUGUGACGGUAGCUUACCAGAAAGGGACGGCUAACUCCGUGCCAGCAGCCGCGGUAAUACGUAGGUCCCGAGCGUUGUCCGGAUUUAUUGGGCGUAAAGCGAGCGCAGGCGGUUUGAUAAGUCUGAAGUUAAAGGCUGUGGCUCAACCAUAGUUCGCUUUGGAAACUGUCAAACUUGAGUGCAGAAGGGGAGAGUGGAAUUCCAUGUGUAGCGGUGAAAUGCGUAGAUAUAUGGAGGAACACCGGUGGCGAAAGCGGCUCUCUGGUCUGUAACUGACGCUGAGGCUCGAAAGCGUGGGGAGCGAACAGGAUUAGAUACCCUGGUAGUCCACGCCGUAAACGAUGAGUGCUAGGUGUUGGAUCCUUUCCGGGAUUCAGUGCCGCAGCUAACGCAUUAAGCACUCCGCCUGGGGAGUACGACCGCAAGGUUGAAACUCAAAGGAAUUGACGGGGGCCCGCACAAGCGGUGGAGCAUGUGGUUUAAUUCGAAGCAACGCGAAGAACCUUACCAGGUCUUGACAUCCCGAUGCUAUUUCUAGAGAUAGAAAGUUACUUCGGUACAUCGGUGACAGGUGGUGCAUGGUUGUCGUCAGCUCGUGUCGUGAGAUGUUGGGUUAAGUCCCGCAACGAGCGCAACCCCUAUUGUUAGUUGCCAUCAUUCAGUUGGGCACUCUAGCGAGACUGCCGGUAAUAAACCGGAGGAAGGUGGGGAUGACGUCAAAUCAUCAUGCCCCUUAUGACCUGGGCUACACACGUGCUACAAUGGUUGGUACAACGAGUUGCGAGUCGGUGACGGCAAGCUAAUCUCUUAAAGCCAAUCUCAGUUCGGAUUGUAGGCUGCAACUCGCCUACAUGAAGUCGGAAUCGCUAGUAAUCGCGGAUCAGCACGCCGCGGUGAAUACGUUCCCGGGCCU
rnacentral:rRNA from 1 species